GCAGUGGUGGUUCCAUGGUAGAAUUCUUGCCUUCCAUACAAGAGACCUGGAUUUAAUUCCCUGGCCAGUGUG
rnacentral:tRNA from 1 species